GAUGAAGAACGUAGCGAAAUGCGAUAAGUAAUGUGAAUUGCAGAAUUCAGUGAAUCAUCGAAUCUUUGAACGCACCUUGCACUCCUUGGUAUUCCGAGGAGUACGCCUGUUCGAGUGUUAUGAAGCUCUCAAAACGCUAUUGGCUUAAAACCUGAUUGUUGUUUUGGAUUUGAACUUUGCCGUGUUAUAACGGCUGGUUUUAAAAGUAUUAGCUGGUACUAGAACGAAUUGGUUCUACUCAACGUGAUAAUUAUCUGAUCGUUGAGGACAUUCCUUUCACGAGGAAUGGCCAUAGUAAAUUCAAUGGACUGCUUCUAAUCUGGCUUUAAUUCUUUAUUGGAUUAACCACUUUUCAAAUCUGACCUCGAAUCAGGUGGGACUACCCGCUGAACUUAAGCAUAUCAAUAAGCGGAGGA
rnacentral:misc_RNA from 1 species